GCCAGUUCUUUUUUGAUUGUCACUUUUCGGUCUCAUUUUAGGCUCUUCGUCUCUCUCUCUCUCUCUCUCUCUCACACACACACAGUCUCUCUCAAACUCUCCGAUCAUUAUUCGUCUAGAAUUUUCUUUUGUUUCUAAACCGUAAAAUUCGACUUUGAUUUGUGGAAUCUCAAACAAAAGUGGCGUUGCUUGAAAUUUGAGUUCGAUUUAUUGAGUUCUUAACCAAGUAUUUGAAUGCUGAAAUUGGGUUUCGCUUGCUCUGAAGGUCCAACUGCUUCAAAAAGGAUUCUAAAUUGGGAUGUUAGAAUAGUGUAAAUAAACAAAUCAGCAUUAUAAUCAGAUUCAAAUAGUAGAGCUGCAGUAAAAACCGACAUUACUGGUAACUCCGCCGCCCUAACGAAUGGCUUCAGCAGAAAGGCCAAGUUUUUCGCUCCUUCAUUCUAUGAAGUUGUUGAUACACGUAUUCUUGCAUAUAUAAACAAGUAUGUUUAACAGUACUCAUACCGUGUAGAAGUAUUAGAAAAUCCUUCCACGAAGAUUAGGCACAUAUUUUACGUUCUCUUUCUGUUUUUGUUGUGCCAAGUAUAUUUAGAGGUAAACCGAUCAUUCAUUUUAUUUUUUAUGCUCUUAGAUAUCCUGUUCUCUUAUCUUUUGUAUCAACACCUUCUUGGUGCUUCCAGUGAUGAAUACACCUUACGUGCAUCAAAUAUAAAGCUUAUUGUCAAUGCGAUGACUGUUUACAGAUAGUAUGAGCCUUUUAACUUUUUUGUUAUGUCAUUAGACAAGAAAUAUUAGUAAUCAAUCUUGAAUUGGAGUUACUCGACUUAUCUUGAAUAUAAUUAUGUGUGAGUUUAUGAUGUACCAAUUUCAGGUGCAUUAAGCAUUAGCAAAAAGCAUUAGCUGCUCGUGUUCUUACCUUUUUAGUAUAAAAAGUAGCUAAAAAGUGUUGAAUGCAAAAGAUUUGGUUGUGCUUGUUACAUCUAACUUUAUUUUGUUUAUCUGAUGAUAUUUGAAAAUCAAUGACUUCUAAACAUAUGGUACAGUUUUCACAUUCUUUUUUGGUUAUAACAUUCUUGUGAAUUCCUUUUCUUGACAAAAGAUAAAGGCAUGAAGCCACUUCUUUUCAUUUAAUUCUGUGUUAGUUAAACUGAAUGUGGACAGAAAUCCUAAUUUUGAGUUGUUGAAUAGGAUUGUUUCUAUACAACUGUGCUUUUAAAUAAUUUUUUGAUUUCUCGGGCUUACAUGUAUGUUCUUUUAGGAGAUGGUUGCUUUGGUUAGAUGAUGUUUAAAAAAACAGUUGAGGUUCUGUAAAGAAUGGGGGCAAACUUUUGGAGUUCCAAAUGGAUUCAAUAAAGGCCAUAAUGCAAGAUAUUAAGGCUGACAUUUCAGUGUUUAAUGCAAUAGCUUUUGAUGCAAUAAAUAAAAUGUGUUUCAUUCGAUCUUUGGAUGUUUGAAUGCUUUCACAUGAUAUUUUUUCUAAUCUUUGAGUGUUUGAGUUAAUAAUAUUGAUAAUAAGGCCAAUGUGUUAAUUAGUUAAGCUCAUCUUGUAACAAUAAUGUGAGAUAACAUGUGAAGUUUAACUUGAAUGUCGUUGAUGUUUUAGGCACACUAAUAGAUUAACUAUUUGAUUAUAUAGCACGUCCACUUGAUUGAGAUUCUAAGGAUUGCUUGGGAGAAGAGCAUUGAGAUUAGAAUACACAGGAAUUUAUGCUACUUACCUUUAAAAAAAGGAAAAAAGAAAAAGAUAAUAUAUCAGCAUUUGAAUAGUUUUUUUCUCCUGUUUUUGCAUGCCUAUAUUGUACUAGCACUCUGCUCUAAUCUUAUUCUUCUUUUGAUAGUUUGAAUGGUUUUACCAGUCUUCAACUAUGAUCGAAGCAGUUUCCCGUUCAAGAUGAUAUUUAUUUUUUCACCAGUUGUUAAUAGUGGUCCUCUUUUUUAAAGGAACUGCCCAGCUUGGUUUUGAGUGGAAAUGGUUAUAUAUGCUCAAACACGAUUACAUAAGAAAGAGAACUUUGAGCCUACCUUCUCCGAAACAAUGUACCGCCACCCAAUUCUUAAAAUCUAAGAUCACGAAGAACUCCAUUUACAUUAGCUCUGUACAACCUUAUCAUUCCUAACUUAGACAUGUAUUCUUGUUAUUAGUUUUUAAAAAUAGUAUAUCCUUUUUGCUGUUUAGACCUGAAAGAUGAUAAUUGCAAGCAAUUUAUCCAUCCUUAACCGCCCUUUAACCUCUUCAGGCAGCUCCCUCCAUCUAUGUAUAAAAAUACCUCAUUUUAGGGAGGUAAGAAGUUGAUAAACUUUUCUUCCUUUUAUAUUCAUUAAUCUCACGAGCACAGUGACCAUGGUAAAAGAAAUUCAAAUGGCCAAUUGAAAUUUUAUUUACUUAUUUAAAUUUUGUUUACCAAUCAAACUUUUGUAUCUUAUUAAUUUUGAACUACUCAUGAGAAUGGGGUAAAUGAUAAUGGCAACAAAUCGAAUUUUGCUAGAAAGGGUGUAACUUUUGACAUAUAUUUCAGGAAUGCAUGUGCUAUAGUCAAAGAGUGCAAGAGUAAGCCCUCCUAAAGUUGUUACACUCAAAAUUUGGUAGACCUUUUAAAUCUUGUCUGAUUUUCUUUUUUCCCGCUUACUAAAUAUUGUAGGCCAAUUGUUUCAAUCCAUUAAACUUUGAAUUCUUGAAUUGCAUUAGCAAACUACUCUUUUAGCUGAUACUUUUGAAUGGUAAUCUGCACCCAAAAAGAAUAAAAAGAAGGGUGUAUAAUAGUUUCUACUCUAUCACUUUUGCUUAUCAGGAUGUUUAAUCCCUUUUAUUGAGUAAUGAUUAAAAAGCUUAAGAUAUCUUUGGCCAGGAUUUAUUAUGAUCUGUGCUAUACAGUAAUGUAUUUCUCAGAAGUUUGAUAUUUGGAACAGACAGAAAAGAAUUUAUGCAGAAUCUGACAAGUGAAAUUCUAUUCCACCCAAAGUCUGUAGCACGAAGCUCUGAAAAUUUUCUCCAGAGGUUCAGGCUCCCAAAACUGCCAUGGUUCACCAAGUGAAUUCUCUAGGAAUGUCGAUCUUGCUGUGAUUGUUCUAAGAUGAGAUCUAGAAGUCUGAAAACGGUUUCUUUAAAGAACAUUCUAUGUGUUCCUUAUGCGUCAUGUUUUAGUGAUACUUGCACAGUUUAAAAGCAACAUGUCAUCUUCAUUUAAUCUAUUGCAAGAUCCAUUAUCUUGAGUUUAAAAUUUUUGUUUUUCAGUUAAUUUUUCAUUCCAGUUACUGUAUUUGUAUCUUUUGUUAUUGGUAAAAAGAGGAUAAUUAUAUAAGAAUAAGCUGCAUUUAAGUUGCGUGA